CAUAGGUUAAUGAGGCGAACCGGGGGAACUGAAACAUCUAAGUACCCCGAGGAAAAGAAAUCAACCGAGAUUCCCCCAGUAGCGGCGAGCGAACGGGGAGCAGCCCAGAGCCUGAAUCAGUAUGUGUGUUAGUGGAAGCGUCUGGAAAGGCGCGCGAUACAGGGUGACAGCCCCGUACACAAAAAUGCACAUGCUGUGAGCUCGAUGAGUAGGGCGGGACACGUGGUAUCCUGUCUGAAUAUGGGGGGACCAUCCUCCAAGGCUAAAUACUCCUGACUGACCGAUAGUGAACCAGUACCGUGAGGGAAAGGCGAAAAGAACCCCGGCGAGGGGAGUGAAAAAGAACCUGAAACCGUGUACGUACAAGCAGUGGGAGCACGCUUAGGCGUGUGACUGCGUACCUUUUGUAUAAUGGGUCAGCGACUUAUAUUCUGUAGCAAGGUUAACCGAAUAGGGGAGCCGAAGGGAAACCGAGUCUUAACUGGGCGUUAAGUUGCAGGGUAUAGACCCGAAACCCGGUGAUCUAGCCAUGGGCAGGUUGAAGGUUGGGUAACACUAACUGGAGGACCGAACCGACUAAUGUUGAAAAAUUAGCGGAUGACUUGUGGCUGGGGGUGAAAGGCCAAUCAAACCGGGAGAUAGCUGGUUCUCCCCGAAAGCUAUUUAGGUAGCGCCUCGUGAAUUCAUCUCCGGGGGUAGAGCACUGUUUCGGCAAGGGGGUCAUCCCGACUUACCAACCCGAUGCAAACUGCGAAUACCGGAGAAUGUUAUCACGGGAGACACACGGCGGGUGCUAACGUCCGUCGUGAAGAGGGAAACAACCCAGACCGCCAGCUAAGGUCCCAAAGUCAUGGUUAAGUGGGAAACGAUGUGGGAAGGCCCAGACAGCCAGGAUGUUGGCUUAGAAGCAGCCAUCAUUUAAAGAAAGCGUAAUAGCUCACUGGUCGAGUCGGCCUGCGCGGAAGAUGUAACGGGGCUAAACCAUGCACCGAAGCUGCGGCAGCGACGCUGAUGCGUUGUUGGGUAGGGGAGCGUUCUGUAAGCCUGCGAAGGUGUGCUGUGAGGCAUGCUGGAGGUAUCAGAAGUGCGAAUGCUGACAUAAGUAACGAUAAAGCGGGUGAAAAGCCCGCUCGCCGGAAGACCAAGGGUUCCUGUCCAACGUUAAUCGGGGCAGGGUGAGUCGACCCCUAAGGCGAGGCCGAAAGGCGUAGUCGAUGGGAAACAGGUUAAUAUUCCUGUACUUGGUGUUACUGCGAAGGGGGGACGGAGAAGGCUAUGUUGGCCGGGCGACGGUUGUCCCGGUUUAAGCGUGUAGGCUGGUUUUCCAGGCAAAUCCGGAAAAUCAAGGCUGAGGCGUGAUGACGAGGCACUGCGGUGCUGAAGCAACAAAUGCCCUGCUUCCAGGAAAAGCCUCUAAGCAUCAGGUAACAUCAAAUCGUACCCCAAACCGACACAGGUGGUCAGGUAGAGAAUACCAAGGCGCUUGAGAGAACUCGGGUGAAGGAACUAGGCAAAAUGGUGCCGUAACUUCGGGAGAAGGCACGCUGAUAUGUAGGUGAAGUCCCUCGCGGAUGGAGCUGAAAUCAGUCGAAGAUACCAGCUGGCUGCAACUGUUUAUUAAAAACACAGCACUGUGCAAACACGAAAGUGGACGUAUACGGUGUGACGCCUGCCCGGUGCCGGAAGGUUAAUUGAUGGGGUUAGCGCAAGCGAAGCUCUUGAUCGAAGCCCCGGUAAACGGCGGCCGUAACUAUAACGGUCCUAAGGUAGCGAAAUUCCUUGUCGGGUAAGUUCCGACCUGCACGAAUGGCGUAAUGAUGGCCAGGCUGUCUCCACCCGAGACUCAGUGAAAUUGAACUCGCUGUGAAGAUGCAGUGUACCCGCGGCAAGACGGAAAGACCCCGUGAACCUUUACUAUAGCUUGACACUGAACAUUGAGCCUUGAUGUGUAGGAUAGGUGGGAGGCUU
rnacentral:rRNA from 1 species